rnacentral:rRNA from 1 species
ACGGAAGGCAGCAGUGGGGAAUAUUGGACAAUGGGGGAAACCCUGAUCCAGCGACGCCGCGUGAGUGAAGAAGUAUUUCGGUAUGUAAAGCUCUAUCAGCAAGGAAGAAAAUGACGGUACUUGACUAAGAAGCCCCGGCUAACUACGUGCCAGCAGCCGCGGUAAUCCGUAGGGGGCAAGCGUUAUCCGGAUUUACUGGGUGUAAAGGGAGCGUAGACGGCAUAGCAAGUCUGAAGUGAAAUGCAUGGGCUCAACCCAUGAACUGCUUUGGAAACUGUUAAGCUAGAGUGCAGGAGAGGUAAGUGGAAUUCCUAGUGUAGCGGUGAAAUGCGUAGAUAUUAGGAGGAACACCAGUGGCGAAGGCGGCUUACUGGACUGUAACUGACGUUGAGGCUCGAAAGCGUGGGGAGCAAACAGGAUUAGAUACCCUGGUA